rnacentral:hammerhead_ribozyme from 1 species
AUCCAGCUGACGAGUUCGAAAUAGAACGAAACACGCGUCUUGGAU